UCCGGAAAUGAGUAGAUCUAUUGUUUUGGUACCCUUGAUGGGUUCUAGCGAAGGUUAACAUUUUGUUACCGGUGACACCAAAGCUCAUCUAGAUCUACAUAGUCAUUUGAUUGCUUCAUAUCUCGGUUAACUGUUGAUUUAUUCACUGUCAGCUUAAACAUGAAUUUGUUUCAACUAUGGAUUUGCCUGGCCGAACAAUACGGUGAUAUAGGAUUACCCCCAAAACCAGAAGUGGUAGAGGUAGAGGUAGAGAAACCAUCAAUGCUGCUUACCUUUUUAUUGGCAUUGAACGUCAUCCUUCUCCUCAUCAAUUUGGUUUUACUGUUUUGGUGUUUCUGGGUGCGAAGAGUAAAAAACACGGAUGCUUGUUUGGAGCAGAGAAAAGUUACAGUAGAAACAACUGGUUCCCAAGCUAGUAAUGAAAGCUGCAGUUGCCUCCCUGGUUCCGAACCUAGUGUUGAAAGUGGCAGAAGCCUCGAAGACAACAAAACUAGUGUCGAAGUCUGCACUCAAGAAUCCAAAGGCUGCCAAACCAUGGUUAAACACUGCGAUAAAGCAAGCCAGACUGAUGAUGUCAUCGUAGUUGCCACCCCUGAUGAUGCUAUCUUAGUGGCUAAAGUACUAGCCGCCCUCACGCUCACGGCCUACCUAGUCAAGUCAUCCCGUGGACGUGCCUUGAUGCUGUAAACCGCUGAUGCUGCUGGUUCUGAUGGUGGUUGUGAUGUGAACCCUGACAUAGAUGAGGCUCAAUUGCUUUUGAGAUAAACGUCUUAUAGUUUAGAUUUCGAUUUUAUUUAGUCAUUUUAGUUAACUAUUAAAAAAUAAUAACUAUUACUAUCACACAAAAAUAGUGUGAAUAUUCGUGACCAAACAGGUCAGGACCAAAAUGAUCACUAGUUUUCAAAAGUUCUAGUCCUUAUUGUUAAAAUGUGCUUUAAAAUAAACAGUUUGGUCUAUUUGUUACCAUGUUAUAAAUAUUAGCCUACUACUACCAUCAAACUUAGAAUUAGGUUAGGCAUUUGUAGGCCUAGUUGAUUUCGUAAAAAUACAAUCUCAUAAGCCUAACUAUUAAAUGAGCUAUUUACAUUAACAGUUGUUAUGUUUAUCAAUUUCUAUUAUACAAUGUAUAACGUUAUAGUUAGCUUUUGGUAUUACGUAAAAUUAUGUUGUAAAAGUUAAAAAAUACGUUCUUUGUUUUGUGAUAUGAAAUUGAAAUUACCUUAUAGUAGUGGUUAACCUACUUAAAAAAUCAUAUAUUUUGCUACCCUGAAACCAUCGAGAUGUUAAGGUAUAUUUUGAGUUUCAAAUGUUGCUUGUUGAAAGCCCAGCCAUCAUUAUGUGUUGUCUAGUGUUCCGUUAUAAAAUAUUUUCAUAAGCCUAUUAAUUAGCCAAUUAGCACUCUUGGAAGUGCAUAGGUUUGGGCACAAAAUACAACUAUUUGAAAUUGUAUGAUGCUCUCAAGUAAUACUGGAAAGACAACUGCUUACACCACACUAUUUACGGUUUUGAAAUGGUAAUAUAUCUUUGAAAUAUAAACACGAUGUACGUAUGUGUCAUACUUCUUAAACUAUUGAAGUGUAUUUUAUAAAUGUGUUUAAUGAAAUGGAUAAAAACGUGUUCUGUAGAGAGGAACUUUCAUAUGUCUGCUACAUAUGGCAAUUUUUAAAUGUGAUGUGAUAUUUGUCAAAAGAUCUAGGUUCUAAGUAAGUGCACAGAAAUUAAUUGAACAUCGUUUGUAUUGCUAACUCUUGUAGGGACUGCGUUGGUUUAUUUUUUAAAUUGAAGUUCAAUCAGAAUUAACAUAAGAUAGCACCAAGCUAUUCAUUGCAAGGAAACACAGUUUCGUAUGUUUUCCUGAUGUGCAUUCAAUAAAGAGAAGGAUCAAGUCAUAAUAUUUAUACAAUCAUGUAUAGAUUAGCAUUAUUAUAUGAUUUUUUGUCUUCAUGAUAUCAGAAAUUAAUUACUCAAACUUACUAAUGUAUUUAGUAUUUGUUUUAAAAAGCAUCAGUUCUAUAAAUAAAAUAUUUUG